AGAGUUUGAUCAUGGCUCAGAUUGAACGCUGGCGGCAGGCCUAACACAUGCAAGUCGAGCGGAAACGAGUUCACUGAACCUUCGGGGAACGUGAACGGCGUCGAGCGGCGGACGGGUGAGUAAUGCCUGGGAAAUUGCCCUGAUGUGGGGGAUAACCAUUGGAAACGAUGGCUAAUACCGCAUAAUAGCUUCGGCUCAAAGAGGGGGACCUUCGGGCCUCUCGCGUCAGGAUAUGCCCAGGUGGGAUUAGCUAGUUGGUGAGGUAAGGGCUCACCAAGGCGACGAUCCCUAGCUGGUCUGAGAGGAUGAUCAGCCACACUGGAACUGAGACACGGUCCAGACUCCUACGGGAGGCAGCAGUGGGGAAUAUUGCACAAUGGGCGCAAGCCUGAUGCAGCCAUGCCGCGUGUAUGAAGAAGGCCUUCGGGUUGUAAAGUACUUUCAGCAGUGAGGAAGGUUCAUANGUUAAUAGCGUANGGAUUGACGUAG
rnacentral:rRNA from 1 species